rnacentral:rRNA from 1 species
GACGAACGCUGGCGGCGUGCUUAACACAUGCAAGUCGAACGGAAAGGCCCUGCUUUUGUGGGGUGCUCGAGUGGCGAACGGGUGAGUAACACGUGAGUAACCUGCCCCUGACUUUGGGAUAACUUCAGGAAACUGGGGAUAAUACCGGAUAGGAGCUCCUGAUGCAUGGUGGGGGUUGGAAAGUUUCGGCGGUUGGGGAUGGACUCGAGGCUUAUCAGCUUGUUGGUGGAGUAGUGACUUACCAAGGCUGUGACGGGUAGCCGGCCUGAGAGGGCGACCGGCCACAUGGGGACUGAGAUACGGCCCAGACUCCUACGGGAGGCAGCAGUGGGGAAUAUUGCACAAUGGGCGGGAGCCUGAUGCAGCAACGCCGCGUGCGGGAUGACGGCCUUCGAGUUGUAAACCGCUUUCGCCUGUGACGAAGCGUGAGUGACGGUAAUGGGUAAAGAAGCACCGGCUAACUACGUG